GUCUUUUUGAUUUUAAUUUAAAGUCUGACCUGCCCAAUGAGUAGUUUAAUGGCCGCAGUAUUUUGACUGUGCAAAGGUAGCAUAAUCAUUAGUUUCUUAAUUAGAAACUAGAAUGAAAGGUUGGACGAGAAAAUAACUGUCUCUUUAUAAAUUAGUUAAAAUUUUAUUUUUAAGUAAAAAAGCUUAAAUAAUUUUAAAAGACGAGAAGACCCUAUAGAGUUUUAUUUUAAUUUAAUUAUAAUAUUUAAUUAGAAUAUUUUAAUUUUUAUUUAAAUUAAAAUUUAAUUGGGGUGAUUGAAAAAUUUAUUUAACUUUUUUUAAAUAUUAACAUUUAUUUAUGAAUUUGUGAUCCAUUUUUUUAUGAUUAUAAGAUUAAAUUACCUUAGGGAUAACAGCGUAAUUUCUUUUUAGAGUUCAAAUCAUUAAAGAAGUUUGCGACCUCGAUGUUGGAUUAAAAUUUAUUUUUGGUGUAGUAGCUAAAAAAUUAGGUCUGUUCGACCUUUAAAAUUUUACAUGAUCUGAGUUUAAACCGGUGUGAGCCAGGUUGGUUUCUAUCUUUAAAUUAAUUAAAUAUUUUAGUACGAAAGGACCAAAUAUUUUAAAUAUUUUAUUAUAAGUGAUUUUUAUUAAUAUUUUA
rnacentral:rRNA from 1 species